rnacentral:rRNA from 1 species
CGAAGCUUGCGACCGAAGCACCGGUAAACGGCGGCCGUAACUAUGACGGUCCUAAGGUAGCGAAGUUCCUUGUCGGGUAAGUUCCGACCUGCAUGAAUGGCGUAACGACUGGAGCGCUGUCUCCACGGGGGACCCGGUGAAAUUGUAGCCGUGGUGAAGAUGCCACGUACCCGCGGUCAGACGGAAAGACCCCGUGAACCUUUACUGCAGCUUGACAUUGAACUUUG